CGUGGCGAUGAUAGCGGAGGGGCCACACCCGUUCCCAUUCCGAACACGGAAGUUAAGCCCGCCAGCGCCGAUGGUACUUGGGGGGAAGCCCCCUGGGAGAGUAGGUCGUCGCCAGGA
rnacentral:rRNA from 1 species